AAAGUGUUGAGUACGUCUUGAUGCAAGUUGAAAAGUACUCAACACUUUUGAACUUGCAUCAAGACGUACUCAACACUUU
rnacentral:pre_miRNA from 1 species